rnacentral:tRNA from 2 species
GGGAUAUAGCUCAGCUGGGAGAGCGCUGCGUUCGCAAUGCAGAGGUCGUGGGUUCGAUCCCCAUUAUCUCC